GUCGCUGGCCAUGCUACCCUGAACAAGCCCGAUCCUGUCUGAUCUCAGAAGCUAAGCAGAGUCAGGCCUGAUUAGUACUUGGAUGGGAAACCACCUAAGAACACCAGGUGCUGUAGGUG
rnacentral:rRNA from 1 species